GGAAUUGUUGUCAAGGUUUUGAAUUUUGAAUAUUUAGCCAGUUUUGGUGGGAAAAGAGGAUAUUUGUGCGGAAGAAUAACAUGGGUAAAAGGGCUUGAAAGACGUCUCACAUUGAACCGGAAGUACAGAAUUGACCCCAGUCUACUUUAACUUUUUCUAAUUUGAGAUUUCCAUGAAGAACCUCAUACAUGCUUCGGAGGAGAUGACUGCCAGGUGCUAUACUUUAUGCCUUGUGAAGGAAUUAGCUCAACGAAUAUUGUGGAAAGAGUUACAGCUUGUGACAUGAGCUUGAAAUAACAUUGAAGUCAAUGGGGCAAUAAUUGGUGAUCUGUGGCCUGUCUAUAGUGAAUGGAACAAAUUUUACAUUUUUUGCUGUGAUCAAAGUUUUGAAGAUUUUUACUUGAAAUUUUCAGAGCAGACGUCAAAAUCUGAGUUCACAGUUCAAGACUGCGUGUAUGAAUGAUCCUGCAGGGCUUCCUCUUGUGUUUCCGUCAUUAUGCCAUCUGAACAGUUAUAUUGUUAGAAGCCAGGAAUAUGGAACGUAGCCACCACGAAUUGUGAAAACCACCCCCACAGACGACUGAACAGUUACGGCAUUUCGAACAGUCACCAUCGUAGCACUUGACAGUUGCCUCUAGGAUUUUAGGCUUGGACCUCAAUUCUCUCCUGCUGCCAGAGCCCAUGUCAUCAUAAAAAGGAAGAAGAAUAUCUGUCUCAGAAGUAUUUCCAGGGUCAGCUGUGGAUGUAGAUGGAAUGUCAUAAUCGAUGUGGAAUUGUUGUCAAGGUUUUGAAUUUUGAAUAUUUAGCCAGUUUUGGUGGGAAAAGAGGAUAUUUGUGCGGAAGAAUAACAUGGGUAAAAGGGCUUGAAAGACGUCUCACAUUGAACCGGAAGUACAGAAUUGACCCCAGUCUACUUUAACUUUUCCUAAUUUGAGAUUUCCAUGAAGAACCUCAUACAUGCUUCGGAGGAGAUGACUGCCAGGUGCUAUACUUUAUGCCUUGUGAAGGAAUUAGCUCAACGAAUAUUGUGGAAAGAGUUACAGCUUGUGACAUGAGCUUGAAAUAACAUUGAAGUCAAUGGGGCAAUAAUUGGUGAUC